rnacentral:rRNA from 1 species
AUUGAACGCUGGCGGCAUGCCUUACACAUGCAAGUCGAACGGUAACAGGUCUUCGGAUGCUGACGAGUGGCGAACGGGUGAGUAAUACAUCGGAACGUGCCCGAUCGUGGGGGAUAACGCAGCGAAAGCUGUGCUAAUACCGCAUACGAUCUACGGAUGAAAGCGGGGGAUCGCAAGACCUCGCGCGGACGGAGCGGCCGAUGGCAGAUUAGGUAGUUGGUGGGAUAAAAGCUUACCAAGCCGACGAUCUGUAGCUGGUCUGAGAGGACGACCAGCCACACUGGGACUGAGACACGGCCCAGACUCCUACGGGAGGCAGCAGUGGGAAUUCUGGACAAUGGGCGCAAGCCUGAUCCAGCCAUGCCGCGUGCAGGAUGAAGGCCUCGGUUGUAAC